ACCAGGACACCACGCCCCUCGGGCCGGGAGCCGGUUCCGGCUGAGUCGGCAGGGUUGCCGAGCUCUCGCAAUCGCGCUUUACCUGCCCAGGCAAGCCGCGGCAAGAACGCAAGGGGCGCGAAGAUAAACCGACACUUUCCCAACCGCUUCACCACCCCUCAGCGACUUCCGCUUCCGGCGACUCCAUGGGGAAACUGAAGCCCUAGAGGAAAAGAAGACUAAAUGUAUUACCAUCUGACCCACUUCCUGGCCAGCCUGUUCACCUGUCUGCUGUUCUUCAUUGAACAAGAGAAGGAAUCACAAUUGGUCCAUGACAGUCACGGUCAUCUCAUUCCUCUUGCCAGUGGCAGGUGUAUGUGUGAGUUUGCAGCUCAAUCCUGGCCAAGGGGAUCCAAGGACUGCUGAAGAGGCAUGUCUGCACAUGUCACCUAGAACAUCUCCAGCCAUCAUGUGAUCUCUGGGGGAGGCAUUCCCAACUCUCUGAGAGAAGCAGACCAGAAAGAUGGAAAGAAAGCACCUGGCUCCAGGAUGAUGACAUUGAGCCGAUGAAUUAACCACCUUUGUGCUGCUCUAACCUUCAGAGUUCACCUUAACAUGAGAAAAUAAAACCCUUAUUGCUUAGCCA
rnacentral:lncRNA from 1 species